ensembl:lncRNA
CGCAGCAGCGGAGCCUCCCGCAGUCCCAGACACGGGCUGCAGGUGGCACGCUUGAUCUGCGGACUCGUUUCGAGGCUCUCCGAAGCAGCAAAGCCGAGGUGUCUCCGUGGAGCAUCCAGCAGCACCGCCCUUUUGAUGCUUUUCCCUUAUAACUGCUUUGGACCAUGGAAAACCAGACACGGGCGGAGGCUUCUCGCUGCCCCUUCCUGCUUGGACAUUCAGAUGAGAGUGAGGUUGGAGGUGUGAGUGGGGUUUGAUGCAGGGGUAGAAGAUGACUGCUGGGACAGAAAUUGCAAAGAGAUGUAAAAUCUGGAGCUCUGAAGGCUCUGCCUGCUAUUAUCAAGGUGAACCCAGGGCUGUGAGCCUGCAGCACGGUGGGCAACAGCAAGGGUGAGGGAGCACAUUGGUUUUCUUAGAGGAAAAAGUGAGCAAGAAUGACCUCAACGGAAAAAUAUUUUCUCUCCCUCUCUCUUCCUGCCUUGCAGACAAAUAUAGUGCUACAUGUUAUGCAGAGGCAGUUUUCAAGCACGGUUGGAAUGAGCGACUUUGGAGGCAAAUCGCUACCGCUUGUCUUUGCCUUUAGUUUUGGGCUUUUAUUUCCUUAUUUCCUCUUGUGGAGAUGACACAUCUCUGACAGCUGUUGCAUCUCGGAGCCAUAACAGCCCACAUAGCAACUGCCCUGACACUGGCCCUGUCCUCAGAGCUGUGACAGGCAGCCAGCAGAGCACCACUGCGCUGCAAAGGGCUGGAGCCCAGCAUGAUGCCCAUCCUGAAGCCUGUAUGAGGUGAAAUCCUCUUGGGAGCACCUGGUACAUGAUACCUUGGCUGUGGUGGAGCUCAGUGUAGAGCCAGGAGCCCAGCAAAGGGCCAUGGGCUUACCUGGACCAAGAGAAGAGGUAGGACCCUGGGCAGGGUUCUACCAGCAAGUGCUGCCCGUUGUGGGGCAAUGAGAAUAGCCAUGGCUCUUCCAAACAUGACCAGUGGGGAAAGAUAGGUUGAACUGGGAUUAAAAAAGAUGCCAACUGUUUGAAGAAAGGUGGAAACUGAAUACUAGAAAGACCUUUCCUGCGGUAAGCAAAGGCCAUACUAGACUGCCUGGAGAUCUCUCUAGCACAUCUGUCUAGGAGUUGGUCAGACAAUACCUGUCCACAAAGACAUAUAACACAGGCAAUUGUCUCUCUUGGCAGACUGACUGCUCGGUCUUACAUCAAGCCUGGAUGCUUUUCUUCCCAUCUAAUUUAUGCAUUGAGAAGUGCAAUGAAAGCCCCAGUAUGAAAGUCAUAGAACAUUUUUGCCUGCAGUCAAAAAGGCUGCAAGGAUAUGGAGUUGCUCAGAAAAAAAAAAUCAUUUUCCUUUGUUUCCUGGACAAGCACGGUGCCAAAUGCAUGGGAGAGCAUUCUUCUCCACCACACCACUCGUGUCUGACUUCCAGAAAAUCAAUCAAAUGAGACAAAACUGAAGCAAGCAGAUCAAUCUAUAACAGAGUGGUUGUCUCAGUCUUUGAUGAAAUAAAAAAUAAAAAUAAAAAAUGCAGCCAUUGCCUUCCCUGAAAAGUAACAGCAAGCAUCAUCCACCUGCACUGCUGUUUUCAUUCCUGGUGGAGAAGCAGACCCAGUGCUCCCAGUUUUCCUUUGAAUGGGCUGCAAAGCAAAGCAAUCAGGCACACAAGAAUAAGCGGUUCAUCCAAGCACAAUAGCCGGCAGAAGAGCUGUUGUAAGCAAGGUCAGCGCUCCCACUUCUGUGGGGCUUUGAUUGUUCAGCUCAUCUG